GAUGAACGCUGGCGGCGUGCCUAAUACAUGCAAGUCGAGCGAACAGACGAGGAGCUUGCUCCUCUGACGUUAGCGGCGGACGGGUGAGUAACACGUGGAUAACCUACCUAUAAGACUGGGAUAACUUCGGGAAACCGGAGCUAAUACCGGAUAUCAUGUUGAACCGCAUGGUUCAACAGUGAAAGACGGUUUUGCUGUCACUUAUAGAUGGAUCCGCGCCGCAUUAGCUAGUUGGUAAGGUAACGGCUUACCAAGGCAACGAUGCGUAGCCGACCUGAGAGGGUGAUCGGCCACACUGGAACUGAGACACGGUCCAGACUCCUACGGGAGGCAGCAGUAGGGAAUCUUCCGCAAUGGGCGAAAGCCUGACGGAGCAACGCCGCGUGAGUGAAGAAGGUCUUCGGAUCGUAAAACUCUGUUAUUAGGGAAGAACAAAUGUGUAAGUAACUAUGCACGUCUUGACGGUACCUAAUCAGAAAGCCACGGCUAACUACGUG
rnacentral:rRNA from 1 species